UGAUUUAAACUUAAAAUACACAGGCUGAGAGUUCUGAAACAUUUGAGUUCUGCAACUUUGCUCUACAAAACAAGGCUCCCUCAAUGACCAAUUUCACAAGAUUUCUACAAGGGGCCUUGGCUUUAAAGGGUUAAGACAGACAGAGAGGGUCUCUAUUGUCAGAGAGCUUGUAGGCCAGUGAGAAUGAAUCAGAAGACUGCCUUGGAGCUGAAACUUCCUUCCAAACAAUAGCUAUCAUUUAUUGGGAUUAUUGCAGAGCUCCCCGAAGACAGAAGAAGCAGGCAGAUAAGAGCUGAGUGAGACCUCCCAAAGAAGAUCAUAAAGAGAAGAGGACAUUGCACCAAGGAGGUGGCGCAGGCCAGUGGCCGCAGUGCUGGACCUGGGGCCGAGAGGACCCACAUGUAUAUCCUGGCCGAUUCAGGCAUCUUAGCCUUUCUGUGCCUCACUUUCCUUAUUUGUGAAAUCGGCAUUCUGAUCAUGAGUAAAUAAAAAUUGCUGCCGUUGAUCAAGGGCAUUGGGCCAGGCACUGUGCUAACCUCAUGCCUGGCACCGUCUCAUUUAAUCUUCACAGCAGCCCGAUGAAGACAAGGGGGCUCAGGAUGGUGAACUGACCUCUACGUAGCAGCAAAGUCGGCGUCUGAACUUGUCAGAGCAUCACAUCAAUUAAACUAAUUUUUCCUGGCUGGGCACAGUGGCUCAUGCCUAUAAUCCCAGAACUUUGGGAGGCCAAGGU